rnacentral:rRNA from 1 species
AUGAACGCUGGCGGCGUGCCUAAUACAUGCAGGUCGAGCGAACGGACGAGAAGCUUGCUUCUCUGAUGUUAGCGGCGGACGGGAGAGUAACACGUGGAUAACCUACCUAUAAGACUGGGAUAACUUCGGGAAACCGGAGCUAAUACCGGAUGAUAUUUUGAACCGCAUGGUUCAAAAGUGAAAGACGGUCUUGCUGUCACUUAUAGAUGGAUCCGCGCUGCAUUAGCUAGUUGGUAAGGUAACGGCUUACCAAGGCAACGAUGCAUAGCCGACCUGAGAGGGUGAUCGGCCACACUGGAAGUGAGACACGGUCCAGACUCCUACGGGAGGCAGCAGUAGGGAAUCGUCCGAAAUGGGCGAAAGCCUGACGGAGCAGCGCCGCGUGAGUGAUGAAGGUCUUCGGAUCGUAAAACUCUGUUAUUAGGGAAGAACAUAUGUGUAAGUAACUGUGCACAUCUUGACGGUACCUAAUCAGAAAGCAACGGCUAACUACGUG